CGGAGCAAUGGUGACAGGUGGUGCAUGGUUGUCGUCAGCUCGUGUCGUGAGAUGUUGGGUUAAGUCCCGCAACGAGCGCAACCCUUAUCUUUAGUAGCCAGCACGUUAAGGUGGGAACUCUAGAGAGACUGCCGGGGAUAACUCGGAGGAAGGUGGGGAUGACGUCAAAUCAUCAUGCCCCUUAUGACCUGGGCUACACACGUGCUACAAUGGCGGAUACAAAGGGAAGCAAACCCGUGAGGUCGAGCAAACCCCAGAAAGUCCGUCCCAGUUCGGAUUGUAGUCUGCAACUCGACUACAUGAAGUUGGAAUCGCUAGUAAUCGCGAAUCAGAAUGUCGCGGUGAAUACGUUCCCGGGCCUUGUACACACCGCCCGUCACACCAUGGGAGUUGGAAGUGCCCGAAGUCAGUGACCCAACUGUAAAGAGGGAGCUGCCGAAGGCAAAGUCGAUGACUAGGGUGAAGUCGUAACAAGGUA
rnacentral:rRNA from 1 species